rnacentral:misc_RNA from 1 species
UGGAGAGUAGAGACGACCGAUGGGCAGUUGAGUAGAGUUGACCAGCGAACCCAAGUAUAUGCUAAAUAAGACUAAAUAAGUGGGGUUAUUUAGCCUAUAAGUAGGUUUGAAGGUCGACUACUCUACCGAGUAAACACAAGUAAGGAGUAAUUCGGUGGUGUUCAGUUCGUAUGGCUGGAGGUUUAGAAAUAGGAUUUGCAUA